rnacentral:rRNA from 1 species
AGUCACUGACAUUAGAUACCCGUGUAGUCCAGGGUGUUAAACGCUGCAGACUUGGUGUUGGGGGCCCUUUGGGGCGAUUCAGUGCCGGAGAGAAGUUGUUAAGUCUGCUACUUGGGGAGUACGUCCGCAAGGAUGAAACUUAAAGGAAUUGGCGGGGGAGCACCGCAACGGGAGGAGCGUGCGGUUUAAUUGGAUUCAACACCGUAAACUCACCAGGGAAGACUGUUACAUGAAGGCCGAGAUGAAGACUCUGCUAGAUUUUCAG